ACUUAAGCAUAUCAAUAAGCGGAGGAAAAGAAACCAACAGGGAUUGCCUCAGUAACGGCGAGUGAAGCGGCAACAGCUCAAAUUUGAAAUCUGACCCCUUCGGGGCCCGAGUUGUAAUUUGUAGAGGAUGCUUCGGGUGCAGCGCCGGUCUAAGUUCCUUGGAACAGGACGUCAUAGAGGGUGAGAAUCCCGUAUGCGACCGGCGGCCAACCCCGUGUGAAGCCCCUUCGACGAGUCGAGUUGUUUGGGAAUGCAGCUCAAAAUGGGUGGUAAAUUUCAUCUAAAGCUAAAUACCGGCCAGAGACCGAUAGCGCACAAGUAGAGUGAUCGAAAGAUGAAAAGCACUUUGGAAAGAGAGUCAAACAGUACGUGAAAUUGUUGAAAGGGAAGCGCUUGCAACCAGACCUGCCCGCAGGCGAUCAGCCGUUAUUCUUAGCGGUGCACUCGUCCGCGAUCAGGCCAGCAUCGGUUCGGGCGGCCGGAUAAAGGCCUCGGGAAUGUAGCUCCCCCCGGGGAGUCUUAUAGCCCGGGGUGCAAUGCGGCCAGCCCGGACCGAGGACCGCGCUUCGGCUAGGAUGCUGGCGUAAUGGUUGUAAGCGACCCGUCUUGAAACACGGACC
rnacentral:rRNA from 1 species